UGAAGGCUGCUUCUCGAGGUAUUAAGAAUCUAUCUUCUGUGGAGCAAAAGAAGAGGAAACAGGAGGAAAUGGAGAAGCGUCUUGAAUCUACAGGCCCUGGACCAGAGGGAGGUGGACUAAGAUGGCAAGUUGGAUAAAUUGACUCUCCACAUAUUUUCUGAA